rnacentral:rRNA from 1 species
AGAGUUUGAUCCUGGCUCAGGAUGAACGCUAGCGACAGGCUUAACACAUGCAAGUCGAGGGGCAGCACAGGGUAGCAAUACUUGGGUGGCGACCGGCGCACGGGUGAGUAACGCGUAUGCAACUUACCUAUCAGAGGGGGAUAGCCCGGCGAAAGUCGGAUUAAUACCCCAUGAAACAGGGGUCCCGCAUGGGAAUAUUUGUUAAAGAUUCAUCGCUGAUAGAUAGGCAUGCGUUCCAUUAGGCAGUUGGCGGGGUAACGGCCCACCAAACCGACGAUGGAUAGGGGUUCUGAGAGGAAGGUCCCCCACAUUGGUACUGAGACACGGACCAAACUCCUACGGGAGGCAGCAGUGAGGAAUAUUGGUCAAUGGACGAGAGUCUGAACCAGCCAAGUCGCGUGAAGGAAGAAGGAUCUAUGGUUUGUAAACUUCUUUUAUAGGGGAAUAAAGUGGAGGACGUGUCCUUUUUUGUAUGUACCCUAUGAAUAAGCAUCGGCUAACUCCGUGCCAGCAGCCGCGGUAAUACGGAGGAUGCGAGCGUUAUCCGGAUUUAUUGGGUUUAAAGGGUGCGUAGGUGGUUUCUUAAGUCAGCGGUGAAAGUUUGUGGCUUAACCAUAAAAUUGCCAUUGAUACUGGGAGACUUGAGUAUGUUUGAGGUAGGCGGAAUGCGUGGUGUAGCGGUGAAAUGCAUAGAUAUCACGCAGAACUCCGAUUGCGAAGGCAGCUUGCCAAGCCAUAACUGACACUGAAGCACGAAAGCGUGGGUAUCAAACAGGAUUAGAUACCCUGGUAGUCCACGCAGUAAACGAUGAUUACUAGGAGUUUGCGAUAUAGUGUAAGCUCUACAGCGAAAGCGUUAAGUAAUCCACCUGGGGAGUACGCCGGCAACGGUGAAACUCAAAGGAAUUGACGGGGGCCC